CAGGGCGUAAUGUCAGCAGCAGACGGCCUUGUUCGGAACGAGGAGGUCGCAGGUGCAACUCCUGCCACCCUGACCA
rnacentral:tRNA from 1 species